GAUGAGAACGUAGCGAAAUGCGAUAAGUAAUGUGAAUUGCAGAAUUCAGUGAAUCAUCGAAUCUUUGAACGCACAUUGCGCCCCUUGGUAUUCCGAGGGGCAUGCCUGUUCGAGCGUCAUUUCAACCCUCAAGCACAGCUUGGUCUUGGGCUUCGCCGCUAACCCGGCGGGUCUUAAAAUCAGUGGCGGUGCCGUCGGGCCCUGAGCGCAGUAAUCUCUCUCGCUAUAGGGUCCCGGCGGAUGCUGGCCAGUAACCCCCAAUUUUCUAUGGUUGACCUCGGAUCAGGUAGGGAUACCCGCUGAACUUAAGCAUAUCAAUAAGCGGAGGA
rnacentral:misc_RNA from 1 species